UGGACCAUAACUACGAACUAACACUAGUAGAAAAAUACAAAUAGGCAACCCCCAAUUGGCAUCGGUUCAGACCAAACCGGUGCCAAAAACCGGCCUAAAAUUGGGCGGGGAUUUAGACCAAGAAUAAUGGCACCGGUUCAGAUCAAACUGGUGCCAAAAAUAACAAGGACACCGGUUUGAACCGGUGCCACUGAACCGGUAUACCAAAAAAAAAAAACUGGGAUUGUUCAUUUAUAAACCCUAACAUCCUUAUCUCUCCUCUUAGCUUCUCUCUCCUCUCUUUCUCCUCCAAGGCUCCAACUGAGCGCCUCUCCUCCUUCUCCUCCAACUGAGCGCCUCUCCUCCUCUAUCCUCUCUUUCUCCCUUCAGCUUUCCGACCUCUCUUCUCUGUCUCUCUCCCCUCUCUGUCCUCUUCUUCUGACCUGAAAACUACAUCUAAGCCCGGCUUCUCCCCUCUCGCAGUAGGUGCUUCUUUCUUGCCUCGCUCUUGUGACAUGCAUGCUAUGUUUCCCGGUUAACCGCCUCGCCUCGCCUCGGAUCUCUUUCUAGAACCACCUCCUUAGAGUGAGUUAUAGGCGACGAACUCAAUGUUUCUGGGUUUAAUAAUUCGGGGUGUUAAUUCAUGCAACAAGGAUUCAAGGUUUCGAUUUUGGAAUAUUAUUUUGAUGUUGUAAAUUUUUUUUUUUUUUUUUAUUGUUUUACAAUUUCAAUUUCUGAGUUAAAUUUCAUUAUAAUUCAUUGUAAUUUUUUUUUUGUAUGGUACAAUAACAAUUUACUUGUUGAAUAUAAUGUGAUUUACCAUUGUUUUGAUGUUGAAUAUAACAAUUUCAAGAAUCCUUAUUUCA